rnacentral:misc_RNA from 1 species
GAAAAAGCUCUUUCCCAGACAGUCGAACUUAAAUCAUCCAAUGAUGGUGGGAGCACGCAAACUUCUAAGCCAAGGUCUGGCUCCCAGAAAUCUCACCAGCAGUCUUCCUCAUCACAUUAUCAAACCCCUGCGUCUGCUUUAUACGAUCCAUCUGAGGAUUCAAGGACUUCUGUGGGUUCAUCCAAUACUACUGCAUGGUCUGAAAGAACAGGUGAAUCUAGG